rnacentral:rRNA from 1 species
GCUACCACAUCCAAGGAAGGCAGCAGGCGCGCAAAUUACCCACUCCCGGCACGGGGAGGUAGUGACGAAAAAUAACGAUACGGGACUCAUCCGAGGCCCCGUAAUCGGAAUGAGAACAAUUUAAAUCCUUUAACGAGGAUCAAUUGGAGGGCAAGUCUGGUGCCAGCAGCCGCGGUAAUUCCAGCUCCAAUAGCGUAUAUUAAAGUUGUUGCGGUUAAAAAGCUCGUAGUCGAAUCUGUGUCCCGCGCCGCCGGUUCGUCGCUCGCGGCGUUUAACUGGCGUGUCCGCGGGACGUCCUGCCGGUGGGCUUAGCUCCUCCUUUGGGGCGGCCCAAUCAUAAUCCCGCCGCGGUGCUCUUCACCGAGUGUCGAGGCGGGCCGGCACGUUUACUUUGAACAAAUUAGAGUGCUUAAAGCAGGCUAAAACUUUGCCUGAAUACUUCGUGCAUGGAAUAAUGGAAUAGGACCUCGGUUCUAUUUUGUUGGUUUUCGGAACCCCGAGGUAAUGAUUAAUAGGAACGGAUGGGGGCAUUCGUAUUGCGACGUUAGNGNUGAAAUUUCUUGGAUCGUCGCAAGACGGACAGAAGCGAAAGCAUUUGCCAAAAACGUUUUCAUUGAUCAAGAACGAAAGUUAGAGGUUCGAAGGCGAUCAGAUACCGCCCUAGUUCUAACCAUAAACGAUGCCAGCUAGCGAUCCGCCGAAGUUCCUCCGAUGACUCGGCGGGCAGCUUCCGGGAAACCAAAGCUUUUGGGUUCCGGGGGAAGUAUGGUUGCAAAGCUGAAACUUAAAGGAAUUGACGGAAGGGCACCACCAGGAGUGGAGCCUGCGGCUUAAUUUGACUCAACACGGGAAACCUCACCAGGCCCGGACACCGGAAGGAUUGACAGAUUGAGAGCUCUUUCUUGAUUCGGUGGGUGGUGGUGCAUGGCCGUUCUUAGUUGGUGGAGCGAUUUGUCUGGUUAAUUCCGAUAACGAACGAGACUCUGGCCUGCUAACUAGGCGUAUUUCCGACAUCUCGAAGGCCCGCCGGCCUGGUGCGCUCGCGCGCCGAGUCGUGCGCGGUUUUUACUGUCGGCGUACAAACAAUUCUUCUUAGAGGGACAGGCGGCUUCUAGCCGCACGAGAUAGAGCAAUAACAGGUCUGUGAUGCCCUUAGAUGUUCUGGGCCGCACGCGCGCUACACUGAAGGAAUCAGCGUGUCCUCCCUGGCCGAGCGGCCCGGGUAACCCGCUGAACCUCCUUCGUGCUAGGGAUUGGGGCUUGCAAUUGUUCCCCAUGAACGAGGAAUUCCCAGUAAGCGCGAGUCAUAAGCUCGCGUUGAUUACGUCCCUGCCCUUUGUACACACCGCCCGUCGCUACUACCGAUUGAAUGAUUUAGUGAGGUCUUCGGACCGGCACGCGGUGGCGUUUCGACGUCGCCGAUGCUGCUGGAAAGAUGACCAAACUUGAUCAUUUAGAGGAA